rnacentral:rRNA from 1 species
CGGUGGAUGAUGUGGAUUAAUUCGAGUGCGAACGCGAAGAACCUUACCAGGCCUUGACAUGCGUAGGGAACCCGGGUGAAAGCCUGGGGUGCCCGCGAGGGAGCCCUAGCACAGGUGCUGCAUGGCCGUCGUCAGCUCGUGCCGUGAGGUGUUGGGUUAAGCCCGCAACGAGCGCAACCCCCGCCGUUAGUUGCCAGCGGUUCGGCCGGGCACUCUAACGGGACUGCCCGCGAAAAGCGGGAGGAAGGAGGGGACGACGUCUGGUCAGCAUGGCCCUUACGGCCUGGGCGACACACGUGCUACAAUGCCCACUACAAAGCGAGGCCACCCGGCAACGGGGAGCUAAUCGCAAAAAGGUGGGCCCAGUUCGGAUUGGGGUCUGCAACCCGACCCCAUGAAGCCGGAAUCGCUAGUAAUCGCGGAUCAGCCAUGCCGCGGUGAAUACGUUCCCGGGCCUU